UUGAUAGAAGCCAAAAUAGAGGCUUAUUUCUGUUAAAAAUAUCAAUGAAUUAAUCCUAUCAAA
rnacentral:tRNA from 1 species